CGCCAGCCCGUCUCCCUCUGGCACAUGCUGGACGCGCUGCAGGUGCACCGGGGCGUGGUGCCGUGCCACCUGCUGUACAGCCAGCUGCUGGAGCGGGUGGGCGCCCGGCUGCACCACCCCAGCGCCGAGGAGCUCGAUCAGGAGGAGGUGGCCGCCCAGAUGGCGACGCUGCGACACCAGAUGGCCGAGGGCACGCUGGUCGUGUGACCGCUGCCCGAUCCUCCGGCCCGGAGAGGCGCGGCGGCGGCGGGCAGCACAGGACGCCGGUGUGUACGGGCCCAGCUGGCGCGGCGCCGAACGGAGCCCAGGGCGCUGGGGGUAUUGGUUGGAACUGGUGUGAUUCUGGUGUAUCUGGUGUGAUUUAUUGUAUGCAAGUGAACAUGUGAUCCCGCCGAGAAGAACACACAGCAGGCAGCCGAAAAACGGCUGCGCGGUAGUGUAACACAAACCAGGGCAGGCUUCUGUUCGUCACGUAAGGGGAAGCUGUCCGAUACUGUAAUCCAGGCUUCACCUGUCUUGUUCGAGACGCGUCGUGGAUGGCUGAGGCUUCUGGGUGUCCAGCACCCAGUGGAGUCCUCUUCUGGCGAGUUUGAGCAGCCGCGUGUGGGGCUUGCCCCGCAGGCCUAGUGUGCCGGCACCAGUCAAUGGAAUCUCCUCAGGUUCUCAGUUUUGGCCGCUCAUUGUGUUCGCGCACGGCCGCGUGCUCCUGCUCUUUAAUGUUGGUCCCGCUUCCUGGCAACGUGCGAUGCUCGCACAGGGUUGAGGUGAAACAAGAGCGCCGUGUGCGUGCUCGCGCGCCCGGCGGUAGACGAGUCUCGGCUGGUCUUUGAAAGCGCUACUAAAGUGUCGUAUUGGAAUGACGUGUCUUGGAUGUGUAAUAAUGUGUUGCAAGUGUCACUGCGAUUUUUGAACCACUCGCAGAGAGAACUCGAGGGAAACAAACAAACUCGAGAGAACAAAGAGAACUCGAGAAUUCGCAGAGAUGAGAAGCCGUUGUUAUAGAAUGCAAUGCCAUCACUUUUUACACCGUUUUGUCUUGAUUCGCCGUGAUUCGUUAUGAACUUCCCUGCUGCGGGGUGCUGUAACACCACCUUUAAACAUGAUUUGUUUUUAUUUUUGGAAAUUUGGUCUGCUAGUUUUUGUGAUAGUGCUUUUAUGUUUAAAAGGAAGAGCGCGUCAGGGAAAGAAUGCUGCGUCGUACUAAUCACCCGAUGACAUUCAUUGUAAAAGAUAUAUCAGUCAGCAGGUUACCACUAUUGAGCACGAAGCCCACAAAUAAAGCCGCUCAACGCCGAAACAUGCGACA